UAUAUGUAUAUAUACAAAUUACUAAAUUGUAAUCUAGAUAUAGAGUGGUCGAUGUUCUCAAAGAACAGAGCAUAAUUAAAUUUUUUUAUUAAUACGUAUGUAAGCAGAGUGAGAUAAGAGAUAAUAAUAUAUAUUUUAUGUUAUUAAAUAUAACUAGCUGUCAUGACCCGUAAAAUACGGGUCUUUAGGAUAUUGAUGCACACUUUAUCCGCGUGGUUACAGUUCAUAAGAACUAUUAUCCGGUUUAUAACGAAAGAAAAUCUCAAUCAAAUGAAAACAUCUAAUUGAUAGCUAUUAAUGUCCUAGAUACGAAGGUUAAACUUAUUGAUUGCGUAAACACUAACUUUAACAUAAAUGGCAUUUGCGAGACACUUCUUGCAACGAAAAAACAAAAUUUUGAAAUUUGUGAACAAUUUUUUUUCUCUCGUUAGCGAAGUUGGUUCUGUGUCAAUGCGAGGAUCAAACAUUUUUUAUUAAUAUCUUUACAUAUGUUGUCUAUAUACAAUAUCUAUAAAACUUUAUAAGUAUUUGAAUUUGUAUUUAAAAAAAUCUAAAAAAAAAGUUAAAACAGUAGUCGCCAACAGUAGGACUCGAACCACGGCAUUUAUGUUCCAAAGCCCAGCGUGCUAACCACUCGACUACUCUGACGCAUUAAGAAAUAAAGAUUCAAAAUUAUAUAAAAAUUGUUUUUAACGGAUAUAAAUGCAAAAGAUUAGAUAUUGGUAUUAUGCUAAUAUUAAAUAGUUUAACUUUUAAUUAUUUUUAGAAACAAUAAACUUUAUAAUUAAUUUAGUGUAAAUAUAAAAUUAAAAUCUUUAAUUAUGUUCUAAAUAGAAAUAUACUUUUUAAGCCCCCUUACCAUUUUUAAAAAAAGUUAUGGUCGCCGCGUGGCAAGUUCAUCAGCUUGGCACGCGGUUUUGUUCUUUAAAAUGCAAAUCAAAAGUUAUAUAGAUUUUAUAUUCUAUGUAUAAACAUGUUUUUUACUAAUUUUUCUUGCUCAAUUUUGUUGUAAAUAAACUUGAAAAGUUUAACUAAAAUAACAUGAGUAUCUCAAUAAUGACACAUGCGCAAAAAAAAUAAAAAAGAAGGUCGCCGAUGGUAGGACUUGAACCACGGCUGACUUGGUCAGAAGCCCAGCGCACUAACCACUCUACUAGGCUGUCACGUAGUGUCUUGAAGAUUUCAAAUUUUAUGAAAAUUGUUUUUUAACGGAUAAAAACACAAAAGAUUAGAAAUUUAGCAAAGGUUGACGAAAUGCAGUUCUUAAGUAAAAAUCAAACUGUUGAACUUGAUAUAAGUUACAAUAUGAGUUUCACGUUUGCUCGCGUUUUCUUAUAAAGCAAAGGUAAGACUCUUUCUCGUCACUACCUCGGAUGCAAUGGUUGCCAAGAGUAUCGUGUCAAACAGGCUCGAAAGCGCACUACUACUUCUACUAAUAAGUCCAGUAUUAUUAUAAAGAGAUACUUGUUUCCUAUUUAUAAAUGUGACGUUAAUUCAGUUAUAUAACUAAUUUCAAAAAAUUACGAGACAAUGGAGUCAUUUGAGUGUAAAGUUUGCUCAAAAAUAGCAUAUGGCAAUGAGUUUAUGCUGCGUAAGAUCUGCGAAGCAUGUCAUAAUGUUGCCUUAUUUCAACAAUACAUUAAAACAAUUAAACAACAAUUAAAACAAGAAUCUUAUCUCCUUAGAGUCACAAAUAGACAUUAAACGUUUUUUGUCCAAAAAAAUGAAACUAAAAGGUGCAAAAAAAGGAAGAGUAAUACCUAAAGACGAGCUUCUUUCUACCUCAGAAGAAAACCAGAUAGACGAUUCUGAAGAUGAUCCAGAAUUUGUGCCAGGAACACCUCAGGCUGCCAAAUUGAGAACAAAAAUAAUCAGAGAAUUACACUCAUCCGCAAAACCUUCUUUCCCAGCUAAUAAACCAACCUCUCUUUUUUCCACCCCAAUUAAAGCUAACCCUAACCCAACUAUUCCUUUUAUUACGAAAAGAAACAUUUUCAAAAAAAGUAAAGUUAAAAAAACUGUUGAAAAAAAAUUUACUUUUGGAGAAAACUAUAGAAGAUGAAAUUGCAUAUGUGGGUGAUUUAACCCGUGAUAGACUGGUUUUUGAAGAUAACCAUAGUAAUGAUAGUAAUAACUUUCCUGGAGUUGCAGUUCAAUGCAACUUCAGUGACUCAUUAGACCUAGAUAAACAUUUGGCCUCAGUUAGAUUUCUUGAGUAUCGAAAAUUGAAGAUUGAGCAAGAUCUAAAAAGCUUCAUUGGUAACAUGUUUAGAGUAAGUUUUUUUGCUUACACUUAUUUUACAGUUUGGCAAUGUUGUAAUAAUAGUUUAUAAUAAUGAUUUUUUUGUAGGUCACCGCAUAUAAAAGAUUGUCCGGGCGUAUGGAGUAUAAAAUAAGGUGCAAGGAAAUGAAUUGCUUUUCCUUCACCACUCAAUAUUCAAAACAUUUUGUAGAAAAACACCAGUUUAGCCUGGAGCAAGCUAACUACUUGCAAUCUUUUCAUAUCCGGCUACUUAAGUUUAAAACACGGCUAAUAAAGCAUACAUAUAAACCUUAUGCAUGCAGUAAAUGCAUGCUUUGGUAUGAUCGUUUGGACAAACAUUUAAUUAACGAACACAAGUUUGUAUCAGAAAGUGAGUCGUUUAAAGAAGCAAUUUUAGCGAUGAAAGCCAAAUCUUUAGAUUUGUGUUUUUAAUGGAAUAUACCGCCGAGUUUUUCGGUGAAACAAAAAAGUCAAGUGCUUCUGUGAUUAUUCCUUCGGGAACAAGGAGUUUUACGCCAGUUGAAAAAAAAAAGCACCCCAAAUGGGGGCGACUAGUUUUCAUAACGAAACAAAAAAAACAAAGUCAAGUGCUCCUGUGAGUUUUCCGUCGGGAACAAGAAGUGUUUCUUUAAAAAACUAGUCAUACUGAGAUGAAUAAGGCUGGGGGAGUGGGUUUGUUACAGCUAAAACAAAAACAAAAGGAAGACUAAAAGCAGCUUUAGCAACAGUUUAUGGUAUGAACAACAUUAUCUUUAAAUGCAGUCCCCAUUAUUUUAAUUACUGGUAAUGUAUAUUAUGCAACUGCCUGAUUAAUAAUGUUU